rnacentral:rRNA from 1 species
GCUUGUCUCAAAGAUUAAGCCAUGCACGUCUAAGUAUAAGCAUUAUACAGCGAAACAGCGAAUGGCUCAUUACAUUAGUUUUAACAUACACGAUGAUCGAUUCUACUUGGAUAACCGUAGUAAUUCUAGAGCUAAUACAUGCACCAAGCGCGCUUUUACGAGCGCGUGUAUUUAUUAGAUACAAUCAACCCUUCGGGUUUUGAUGAGUCAUAAUAACUGAACUAAGCGCAUGCUUUGGCGGCGCUGUUUCAUUCAAGUUUCUGCCCUAUCAGCUUUCGAUGGUAGGGUAUUGGCCUACCAUGGCGUUCACGGGUAACGGAGAAUUAGGGUUCGAUUCCGGAGAGGGAGCCUGAGAGAUGGCUACCACAUCCAAGGAAGGCAGCAGG